rnacentral:tRNA from 1 species
GGGUAUUUUCGUAUAGUGGUAUGACUCUCACUUAGGGUGCGAGAGGUGUUGAGUUCAAUUCUCGGAAUGGUGA